UGCAUUGUGUCUCAUGUGGCCCUUUAUGUUUUCCAUUUCCCAAUAUAUAUUUUGUAUCUUUCUGGAGCAUGUUAUGCUUCAUUUUAAUUUAUAAAUUGGCUACCAUGGCAGCCAUAACCACACAAUACUGCGUACUGCAAUUGCUCUGCACUAAGUUUGGUUUCGCUUACUAUUUCAUUUUUAUAUUACUCUCCUGGAUUCCAACCAAUAUUUUUUUACACAGGUUUUGGGUAUCGUUGAGUAGUUGUCUUCAAAUUAUAUGACGUCAACUACAUAUAGCACUAUUUUUUCAUUUAAAAAAUAAAACAAUUUCUGGAUUUGUAUUGAUACAAUUACAUACGUACGAGCAUUUUAGUUCGCGCCGGUGAGAACGUCUCCGCGUUUCUAUAGUGGCAUGGGAGUUGCACAGGCGUAAUAAGUGAAGGUAACAAUUAAGAGACGUAAUAAUGGAGAGGAUAUUCAGCCAAACCCAGAUGUCAUUAUAUGCGAAAUCCGAGAGUUUUCACGCUAAACAGAUCGAAAACUGUUUUUUUGAACCAGUUACAUUUUAUAACUACAAAUCCACUAAGAAAAAAGAAUUACAAUGAUGUGGACAAAUGUGGCGCAUUUCCACCAUACAAUAAUGGACAAGAAAGAGUUGAAGAUCGUAUCUAAAUAGUCGCAUGUUACUUUAUGCAAUGCCAUUGUGUAUUUCUUCUGCCUUAAAUUAUAUUUUAUUUUAACAAUUGUAUUCUAUAUUUGAAUAUUAUUAUUGUUAAAUCAAAUAGAUCAAAAAUUAUAUAAAAUAAUUCGAUU